CCUACGGGAGGCAGCAGUGAGGAAUAUUGGUCAAUGGACGAGAGUCUGAACCAGCCAAGUAGCGUGAAGGAUGACUGCCCUAUGGGUUGUAACCUUCUUUUAUAAAGGAAUAAAACGAGGCACGUGUGCCUUUUUGCAUUUACUUUAUGAAUAAGGAUCGGCUAACUCCGUGCCAGCAGCCGCGGUAAUACGGAGGAUCCGAGCGUUAUCCGGAUUUAUUGGGUUUAAAGGGAGCGUAGAUGGGUUGUUAAGUCAGUUGUGAAAGUUUGCGGCGCAACCGUAAAAUUGCAAUUGAUACUGGCAGUCUUGAGUACAGUUGAGGUAGGCGGAAUUCGUGGUGUAGCGGUGAAAUGCUUAGAUAUCACGAAGAACCCCGAUUGCGAAGGCAGCUUACUAAACUGUGACUGACAUUGAUGCUCGAAAGUGUGGGUAUCAAACAGGAUUAGAUACCCUUGUAGUC
rnacentral:rRNA from 1 species